UAUGAAAGCUCAUGCUGCCAACUUCUUUCUUUCAGGUAGUCUCAAAGGUGCUACAAGAUCUGUCUACAUACCUAUUAUAUUUGUAUCUAUUAAUUACUCCAAUUUGCUGUGAAAGAACAAUGACAAUCCGUUUUCUGUUGAGUCUCAUGCUGGCAGAGGGCUUGGCUGAAGCCUUUUCGCUCUCUUUUGAUGUCACUUUGUUCUUUUUCCUUUCAGUAGAUUAAAGGAUCAAAUGCUUUUGAACUAGGAACUUAGAGGGACUGAGAGCUGCACAUGAUCUUAUUUAUGCUACAGGUUUUGUGGACUAUGCAGUCUCAACAAGUAACCCCUUCAGAGACUAUAAAAGUAGGCAAGGCCAAGAAAUGAAAAGAAAUUGAUAUGCUGCAGCAACCAUGUCUUCAGUGAAGAAUUUCAGUGCUGAACUGGAGGUGUGGGGAGCAUUUAAAAGAGUGCAUCUACCCAGCUGUUCUGUUUUGAAAUGUGGCUUUAAAGACAACAGCGAAGAGCCCCUGAAAAUCCAACCUGUGUAUCCGAUUCACAUUUGCAAACCCCACCACCACAAACAAAUAAGAGAUGGAUACUGCUUACAGUCCUCUCUACAGGGUUUGUUUCCAUGCCUCAAAGCUGCCAGUAUGAAUGGUACAAAUGUGAGGCUUCCAGAGUUCACAGAAUCCAUCAAGCUGAAGCAGCAGAAUCUCAGGUAUAGAGAAUGGGAGCAAUGAUAAAACAUUUUCAACAAUGCAAAUAUUGUGAUGACUGCUUGGUACAUUUCCUUUGUUUACAUGGUGUUAUAUCAUCUUGAUUUGGGUCGAAUAAAUGGCAGUUAUUUUGUUUUUCCAUCUUUUGUAACAAACAUAAAAAUUAAUUAAAGAUGGGAAUUCUUGCUUGUCAUGCAAGAAUGAGAAACUGCAAUUUUAAUGAGGAACAGUUAAUUUUUUUUGCCACUCAAGACUUUUUACUUUUUCAAACAUGUCUCGUGUACAAACUGUGUAGCUAGAUUAUGAUAGUGUCUGCCAUUGCAUGGGCUUUCUGUAAUAAACUAGAUGAGUUCUUAGCAUCCUUUCUAAUGA